UACGUAGGGGGCAAGCGUUGUCCGGAAUCAUUGGGCGUAAAGAGCGUGUAGGCGGCCCGGUAAGUCCGCUGUGAAAGUCCAGGGCUCAACCCUGGGAUGCCGGUGGAUACUGUCGGGCUCGAGUCCGGAAGAGGCGAGUGGAAUUCCUGGUGUAGCGGUGAAAUGCGCAGAUAUCAGGAGGAACACCAAUGGCGAAGGCAGCUCGCUGGGACGUGACUGACGCUGAGACGCGAAAGCGUGGGGGAGCAAACAGG
rnacentral:rRNA from 1 species